UGGGGAAUAUUGGACAAUGGGCGCAAGCCUGAUCCAGCCAUGCCGCGUGUGUGAAGAAGGCCUUCGGGUUGUAAAGCACUUUUGUUGGGGAAGAAAAGCAUCCGGUUAAUACCCGGGUGUCAUGACGGUACCCAAAGAAUAAGCACCGGCUAACUUCGUGCCAGCAGCCGCGGUAAUACGAAGGGUGCAAGCGUUACUCGGAAUUACUGGGCGUAAAGCGUGCGUAGGUGGUCUGUUAAGUCUGAUGUGAAAGCCCCGGGCUCAACCUGGGAAUGGCAUUGGAUACUGGCAGUCUAGAGUGCGGUAGAGGGGUGUGGAAUUCCCGGUGUAGCAGUGAAAUGCGUAGAUAUCGGGAGGAACAUCCGUGGCGAAGGCGACACCCUGGACCAGCACUGACACUGAGGCACGAAAGCGUGGGGAGCAAACA
rnacentral:rRNA from 1 species